GAGCCCAAGAUGACCGGUUCUAACGAGUUCAAGCUGAACCAGCCGCCCAAAGAUGGCAUCUCCUCGGUCAAGUUCAGCCCCAACACCUCCCAGUUCCUGCUGCUCUCCUCCUGGGACACGUCUGUGCGCCUCUACGAUGUGCCAGCCAACUCCAUGCGGCUCAAGUACCAGCACACCGGACGGUCCUGGACUGCACGUUCUACAUUCCAGCGCAUGCUUGGAGUGGAGGAUUAGAUCAUCAGUUGAAAAUGCAUGAUUUGAACACCGAUCAAGAAAAUCUUGUUGGAAUUCAUGAUGCUCCUAUCAGAUGUGUUGAAUCCUUUCCGGAAGUGAAUGUGAUGGUUACUGGAAGUUGGGAUCAAACAGUUAAAUUGUGGGAUCCCAGAACUCCUUGUAAUGCUGGAACCUUCUCUCAGCUUGAAAAGGCGUACACUCUCUCGGUCUUGGUGUCCGGAGACCGACUGAUAGUGGGAACAGCAGGCCGCAAGGUGUUCGUGUGGGACCUAUGGAACAUGAGCUACUUGCAGCAGCGCAGGGAGUCCAGCCUGUACCAGACUCGCUGCAGUUGAGCUUUUCCUAACAAGCAGGGCUAUGUAUUAAGCUCCAUUGAAGGCCGAGUGGCAGUUGAAUACUUGGAUCCAAGUCCUGAGGUACAGAAGAAGAAGUAUGCCUUCAAAUGUCACAGGCUAAAAGAAAAUAAUAUUGAGCAGAUUUACCCAGUCAAUGCUAUUUCCUUUCACAAUAUCCACGAUACAUUUGCCACAGGUGGUUCUGAUGGAUUUGUAAAUAUUUGGGAUCCAUUUAACGAAAAGCGACUGUGCCAAUUCCAUCGGUACCCCACCAGCAUCGCAUCACUUGCCUUCAGUAAUGAUGGGACUACACUUGCAAUAGCAUCAUCAUAUAUGUAUGAAACGGAUGACACAGAACAUCCUGAAGAUGGUAUCUACAUUCGCCAAGUGACAGAUGCAGAAACAAAACCCAAGUCACCAUGUACUUGACAAGAUUUCAUUUACUUAAGUGCCAUGUUGAUGAUGAUAAAACAAUUUGUACUCCCCAAUGGUGGAUUAUUACUAUUAACAAAGAAACCAGGGAAAAAUAUUAAGUUUACUAUUAUAAGAACCUAAAAAUAAUGGAAAUGAGGUUUUUAUUGAUUUUUUUAAAACAAUAAACACUUAAGUGCUUGAGAUGGUUUGCUGCGUUAAAGGUAUUUGGACAAAGAAAAUUGGAGGGCAGUGUCUGUGCUGUUGAGAAUCAGUUUUGACCUUGAUGAUUUUUGUUUCCACUGUGGAAAUAAAUGUGUGUAAAUAAAUAUAAGUAAUAAACAUCCCUUUGCUUUCUUUCUGGACCUUAAAUGGUAGUGGAAAAGGCUCUGAGCCAUUUGCUUCUUUUGUUGGUUAUAGUUGCUAAUUCUAAAACUGUUUCAGACUGCCUCAUGAGGAGGUUAAUCUACAAUUAAACAAUAUUUCCUCUUGGCCAUCCAUUAUUUUCUGAAGCAGAUGGUUCAUCAUUUCCUGGGCUGUUAAACAAAGCAAGGUUAAGGUUAGACUCUUGGGAAUCAGCUAGUUUUCAAUCUUAUUAGGGUGCAGAAGGAAAACUAAUAAGAAAAUCUCCUAAUAUCAUUUUGUGACUGUAAACAAUUAUUUAUUAGCAACCAGGUGAUCCCAGAAGGGCAAAUUGUUUGAGUCAAUAAUGAACUG